CAGAAGCAGGGGAUAACACUUGGAAACAGGUGCUAAUACCGUAUAACAACAAAAUCCGCAUGGAUUUUGUUUGAAAGGUGGCUUCGGCUAUCACUUCUGGAUGAUCCCGCGGCGUAUUAGUUAGUUGGUGAGGUAAAGGCCCACCAAGACGAUGAUACGUAGCCGACCUGAGAGGGUAAUCGGCCACAUUGGGACUGAGACACGGCCCAAACUCAUACGGGAGGCAGCAGUAGGGAAUCUUCCACAAUGGACGAAAGUCUGAUGGAGCAAUGCCGCGUGAGUGAAGAAGGGUUUCGGCUCGUAAAACUCUGUUGUUAAAGAAGAACACCUUUGAGAGUAACUGUUCAAGGGUUGACGGUAUUUAACCAGAAAGCCACGGCUAACUACGUGCCAGCAGCCGCGGUAAUACGUAGGUGGCAAGCGUUGUCCGGAUUUAUUGGGCGUAAAGCGAGCGCAGGCGGUUUUUUAAGUCUG
rnacentral:rRNA from 1 species